GAUGUACUUCACAUCCACCUUUUCUCUUUCUCUCUCUGCGUUCUCUCUAUUCCCAAACCCUACCUUGGUCUUCUUCUCUCUCAUCUCUCUCACGGGUUUUCUUCUUUCUCCUUCCUUUCCUUUCAAACCCUAGCACAACCACCCCUUUCUCCACCCCAUAUACAACCCAUUUUUCCGCGCCGCUGAAACUACGGUGUUGAACAUAUAGCCAUGCCAAUCUUUGUCUCCGAUUUUAUGAUAUCUUAGAAACUCUUCUUCCAUUUCAAUCUCUCAUUCACUUCUUCUCAUUUUAUUCAGAGUUGGAUAAAUAUUCGUUUGUGUUUGAUUUCAUUUUUCGUUUUCACUCCUUCAUAUUCUUAGAUCUACGAUGUUAUGAUUUCAUUUUCGUUUACUUCUUCUCAUUUGUGGUGUUUUUUUUUUGUUAGAGGUUUUGAUUUCAGAAUAAAGAAACAACCUGGUUGAGCGUUUAGAUCCAUAUAUGCAGAAUUCGAGUAGCUCUAAAGGUCCUAAUUGGCAUCACAGUCCAAAUCAAGGUUCAACUUUUCUUGCUUUUAGUUUCAUGUUAUAUAUGCGGUAUGCCUAUUUUUUCAAUUUUAUAUUCGCACGCCAUGUGUUUGAUAAAAUUCUGGAAAACAUAACUUAAUAUAUGAUAUAUUUAUGUAUACAAACUAAAUGUAAUGUCCAUCAUUUUUACUGUUACCAGCAAACUUCAGAAGAUGCAGGGAUGAAUGAGCUAUUUGAUGGAUUAUUGGGAAGCUGUUUCCAUUAUAAUUUAGUCACUUGGUUUUUGAUAUUUUAUAGUUAGUGUUAAUAUCAUGAUAUAGCCGAGUUAACACUGAGGAAUACUAUAAGUUCCCGCGCUUGGGGGUGCUGCUAAUUGCUGCAGUUAUAGAUCAUUGAGCCAAAUCAGUAAUGGCAGCGCAAAGGAGAAAAUGAAGGCAAUGGAGCAAACAUUGUUGAAAGGAAAGAAUUCAAGAUGAUUGUCCUGCUUCUGCUUUUGGGGAAUCCACCUUGAAAGGCAGCCAUUCAAGUUCAUAACAUUGAAGACUUCAAAUAGUUGAAUACAAGUUACAACCCUGUUCUUAAGCAGUUGGCUUCCCCAGCUAUGAUAAUUUUUGAAUGUUCCUCCAGCAUUUUUGGUUUGCUUCCUAAUAGAACACUGCUCAGAAUGGACUGAUUUCAAUGUUAAUGUUUAUUAUGCUGCAUCGCUGAAAGCUGGAAACUAUGCUUAUUGUGGCAGGUUAAUUUAAAUUGAAUUGAUAUGAGCGGUGUUGCAGCAGGUAUGAUUUGCUUUGCUGCAGAUUUUGUGAUGUAGCCUUAGCAAGUCCGGUGUCGGUUUACACAGUUAGGUACAAGAUUGAUGAAAAUGAAGUUUGGAGAUUGUGAGGGAUGAAGUUUAGCAUGAUGAUGAUGUUGCAAGGAUGCUUCUUGAGUAUGUUCAGGAAGGUCUUUUUAUUGAACAUCAGCCUUGCCACCCAGUUUUGCCACAUUCUUCAUGGACUUCUCUGGCCUGGGAUCAACCAUCGCAAGGGAACAUGAAAACGGCGUGGAGUUUUGCAUUUCUAAUACUGAUGUUCAAGCUAAGAGAAUGCCUCAUGUCAAUUGUGAGAACCAAUUGCUAUUGGUCAAGAGCUUACACGGGGUCUUGGUGUUUGAUAUGAGUUAAAGAUAUUUUUUUAUUCAUUUCGUAGUUCUCUGCUUUGAAUUGAAUUACCUUCCAUUGUUUUACAACAUGCAUGCUAAAAGAAUUGACAUGAACUAGACUUGGUUAUAAUUUUUUAAAUAUAUAGAACAAAUAUCUAUUUCCCAUUUUUUUAGUCUUUACUGCAUAGUAGAAAAACAAAAGAUUAAAAGGAGGU